rnacentral:rRNA from 1 species
CCUACGGGGGGCAGCAGUGGGGAAUAUUGGACAAUGGGGGGAACCCUGAUCCAGCGACGCCGCGUGAGUGAAGAAGUAUUUCGGUAUGUAAAGCUCUAUCAGCAGGGAAGAAAGAAAUGACGGUACCUGACUAAGAAGCCCCGGCUAACUACGUGCCAGCAGCCGCGGUAAUACGUAGGGGGCAAUCGUUAUCCGGAUUUACUGGGUGUAAAGGGAGCGUAGACGGCGAUGCAAGUUGGAAGUGAAAGGGGGGGGCCCAACCCCCGGACUGCUUUGGAAACUGUAUGGCUGGAGUACAGGAGAGGUAAGUGGAAUUCCUAGUGUAGCGGUGAAAUGCGUAGAUAUUAGGAGGAACACCAGUGGCGAAGGCGGCUUACUGGACUGUAACUGACGUUGAGGCUCGAAAGCGUGGGGAGCAAACAGGAUUAGAUACCCCUGUAGUC